rnacentral:snRNA from 1 species
AUCGCUUCUCGGCCUGUUGGCUAAGAUCAAGUGUAG